UUUCCUUUCCCUUUGUUAUUUCUUCUCAAUUCUCACCGUCGCAUCCCAGUUCUUUGUCCCUCCCUCCUCUCUCUCCCCCUUCUUCUCUUUCCCCGACCUCUCCUUUUUUCCUUCACCGACAAACACAAGGACGAAUAGGAACCUGCCCAGUAUGAUGCUCUUCUCGAGGGGGUGACAAAGUCACCUCUGUUCUUCAGAAAGUCUCCCCGACAACUACAAGGACGACAUCGGCGAAUUUUACGGUGACCCAGGAAUCAAAAGCGAGUGAAAGGUAAAGCUUCUCUUCAAACAUUCAUCGCCAGCAAUUCCAACCAGAGCCAACCAGGCGCUUCUCGAGAUGGCGUUGGAACGUGCAGGUGACGAGGAUUCAGGGGAUGAGGAGGAAAUGGCAAAGGAGGAGGACCAAAAUGCGUUAUCUGUUAGGAUAAUUGGUGCCCUGAAUACCAAAAAGUGAGUUUUUACGCAACCUCAUUACUUGCAAAAUUUUGUUCAGUCAACAUUCAAUGCCUUGCCAUUAGAUCAAGUUAAAGGUACGAAUCACUAAAUCAUACUAUUUUCGUCACAUUUUAUUCCCUUGCUGAACACAAUGGAGUGAAUUGUCUUCAUUUGCAUUUUUGCAUUUGAACUUUAAGACCUAGUUUGGGAGUGAGGUGCUUAAAAAAAAGCACUCAUGAAAAAAAGUUAUGAGGGUUUUAGGUGUUUGGUAAACUGAAAAAAAAAAAGGCUUAUUUUGGAAGCUACUGUGAGAAUAAGC